UACGGGGGGGGCAAGCGUUGUUCGGAAUUACUGGGCGUAAAGGGCUCGUAGGUGGCCAACUAAGUCAGACGUGAAAUCCCUCAGCUUAACUGGGGAACUGCGUCUGAUACUGGAUGGCUUGAGUUUGGGAGAGGGAUGCGGAAUUCCAGGUGUAGCGGUGAAAUGCGUAGAUAUCGGGAGGAACACCUGUGGCGAAAGCGGCUCACUGGACCACAACUGACGCUGAGGCGCGAAAGCUAGGGGAGCAAACAGG
rnacentral:rRNA from 1 species